UACGUAGGGUGCAGGCGUUAAUCGGAAUUACUGGGCGUAAAGCGUGCGCAGGCGGCUCCUUAAGUCAGAUGUGAAAUCCCCGGGCUUAACCUGGGAACUGCGUUUGAAACUGGGGGGCUAGAGUACGGCAGAGGGGGAUGGAAUUCCGCGUGUAGCAGUGAAAUGCGUAGAUAUGCGGAGGAACACCGAUGGCGAAGGCAAUCCCCUGGGCCUGUACUGACGCUCAUGCACGAAAGCGUGGGGAGCAAACAGG
rnacentral:rRNA from 1 species